UCAUGCUCAGAACGAACGCUGGCGGCGUGCCUAACACUGCAAGUCGAGCGCGUGUAGCGAUACACGAGUGGCGGACGGGUGAGUAACGCGUGGGAACCUGCCCAAUGGUAGGGAAUAACUGCGGGAAACUGCACCUAAUACCCUAUGCUCCCUACGGGGGAAAGAUUUAUCGCCAUUGGAGGGGCCCGCGUCGGAUUAGCUAGUUGGCGGGGUAACGGCCCACCAAGGCUACGAUCCGUAGCUGGUCUGAGAGGAUGAUCAGCCACACUGGGACUGAGAUACGGCCCAGACUCCUACGGGAGGCAGCAGUGGGGAAUAUUGGACAAUGAGGGAAACCCUGAUCCAGCAAUGCCGCGUGAGUGAAGAAGGCCUUAGGGUUGUAAAGCUCUUUCGGCGGGGACGAUGGUGACGGUACCCGCAGAAGAAGCCCCGGCUAACUUCGUGCCAGCAGCCGCGGUAAUACGAAGGGGGCUAGCGUUGUUCGGAAUCACUGGGUGUAAAGGGCGCGUAGGCGGCGCGACAAGUCAGGCGUGAAAGCCCCGGGCUCAACCCGGGAAUUGCGCUUGAUACUGUCGUGCUUGAGGCCGGGAGAGGAUGGCGGAAUUCCCAGUGUAGAGGUGAAAUUUGUAGAUAUUGGGAAGAACACCGGUGGCGAAGGCGGCCAUCUGGACCGGUUCUGACGCUGAGGCGCGAAAGCGUGGGGAGCAAACAGGAUUAGAUACCCUGGUAGUCCACGCCGUAAACGAUGAGUGCUAGACGUCGGGGGGUUCACCCUCCGGUGUCGCAGCUAAC
rnacentral:rRNA from 1 species